CAGAACACACAGCUGACACAAUCCGCCCAGGCAUCAGCAGGCAGACCGUGCCUAACUCAGCCACCACACAAAGGGAAUCUGUUCCCUUGGACUUUUCCUUGGACCUUCCCUUUUUGGGUUCUCCCCUCAAUGUGUGGUUAGCUGUGUGGCUGCUCCAUCCCUGCAUCCCUGAAGGUAUCUUUAUUUCUGCAUGUUCUACACACUGGAGGUAUCACAAGAGUGAUACCUUUGGACUGUCCAUGACCUGCACCGUAUAUUGAUAUUCCAUCCAGCAGUCAUUGGUUGGACACGACUGGGAGUUCCGUGUAUGAUCACCACUGAGAUUAUAUAGUAUGCAUUCUUGUCCCUGAAGAAGCCCGAAGGGCGAAACAUGUUGGACCCCCUGCGUACAUCAUUCUGUCACC